UAGAUAGAGGCUAUCAUGAAUGAUUUUAUUCAGCUGAAACCUCAAUCUAAUGUUUACGAGGCUGAAACCAUGGUUGAAGGAACACUGGAUGGAUUCUCAUUUGAUUCUGAUGAUGACGCUGACAAGAUGCCUAAAAUCGUCACUAAUCAGACUGAUCAAAAUGAGGGCAAUGGAGAGCAAUCCAACACAAAAACUAAAACAAAAGCUGAAAAAACAUCAGGGGUCGUGCGAAAAAGGAGUGGUAAAGCUGCAUGAGGAAAGCCACCCAAGAAAGUAAGAAAGAAAACCCAAGCUCCGAAGAACAGCAAGACUAAGAAAUGAGAGAUGCUACUGAAUGUGAUAAAUUGUGGUGUGUGGGCCGACAUCAAUUCUCAUUGGUGAAGGAAGAACCUUGGGAGGAAAGAUUGAAGAGUGCACAUGAGCAAGGAACACUUGUCCACCUUUCAAAUUUGGAUCUAGAAUAUACUUCAGGAGAAGUGGAGGUAUUACUAGAGAUGGUUUAUUGAUGAGAAUGAAGACUGCUCAAUGCAAGGAGGUCAUUGAUCUAAAUCUCACUGGUGUAUACCUAUGCACACAGG